rnacentral:tRNA from 1 species
GUUCAGAUAGCUCAGUUGGUUAGAGCAAAGGACUGAAAAUCCUUGUGUCAGCAGUUCAAAUCUGUUUCUGAAUA